rnacentral:rRNA from 1 species
UACGUAGGGUGCAAGCGUUAAUCGGAAUUACUGGGCGUAAAGCGUGCGCAGGCGGUUUUGUAAGUCUGUCGUGAAAUCCUCGGGCUCAACCUGAGAAUUGCGAUGGAGACUGCAAGGCUAGAAUCUGGCAGAGGGGGGUAGAAUUCCACGGUGUAGCAGUGAAAUGCGUAGAGAUGUGGAGGAACACCGAUGGCGAAGGCAGCCCCCUGGGUCAAGAUUGACGCUCAUGCACGAAAGCGUGGGGAGCAAACAGG